rnacentral:rRNA from 1 species
CAGGAUGAGAAUUCUAAGGCGCUUGAGAGAACUCAGGAGAAGGAACUCGGCAAAUUGAUACCGUAACUUCGGGAGAAGGUAUGCCUGUUGUGGUGUAGACCCUUGCGGUCGAAGCUAUGACAGGUCGCAGAGAAUCGGUGGCUGCGACUGUUUAACAAAAACACAGCACUGUGCCAACACGAAAGUGGACGUAUACGGUGUGACGCC